rnacentral:snoRNA from 12 species
CCCUCCUACAAAGGCAUGUCUGUGGUUCCUCAUCUUUGGACAUGUAAGAGUCGGAGGCAAAGAAACGUGGAAUUGGAGAAGUCUGGGCCAGCUUGCUCCCCGCAGGCUCAAGAUCAACCAUCCCACAUGC